ensembl:snRNA U2 U2 spliceosomal RNA
AUCGCUUCUCGGCCUUUUGGCUAAGAUCAAGUGUAGUAUCUGUUCUUAUCAGUUUAAUAUCUGAUACGUCCUCCAUCCGGGGACUACAUAUUAAAUGGAUUUUUAGAUCACGGAGCUGGAGCCGGGGCUUGCUCCGUCCACUCCAUGCAUCGGCCUGGUAUUGUAGUGUCUCCAGGAACGGUGUGCUUUCC